UACGGGGGGGGGUAAGCGUUGUUCGGAAUUACUGGGCGUAAAGGGCUCGUAGGCGGCCAACUAAGUCAGACGUGAAAUCCCUCAGCUUAACUGGGGAACUGCGUCUGAUACUGGAUGGCUUGGAUCCGGGAGAGGGAUGCGGAAUUCCAGGUGUAGCGGUGAAAUGCGUAGAUAUCUGGAGGAACACCGGUGGCGAAGGCGGCAUCCUGGACCGGUAUUGACGCUGAGGAGCGAAAGCCAGGGGAGCAAAGCGG
rnacentral:rRNA from 1 species